rnacentral:lncRNA from 1 species
UUUAUAUACACUGGGCUAGGUUAAUCCACCCGAACAAUGUCACUGUCGGUCAUGUUUAUAUACACAGACACUACAUUUUGACUGAAGUAGACAAUUUUAUUUAACUAUGUCUUAGUUUGUAUUUUUACCUGAAAUCGAUAAUCGUUGUGAAAUAUGUGGUUUUAUUUUCUAUGUUAUGUUGUGUUGUUGGCAGAUAUUCGGACUUUACACGGCUUGGAUAUCUUCAACUUCCAUGACUACUGCGGAGCCACCAUUUACGAAAAUGUUGGAGAACUGCGGUUUAAUGCGCAACAACUUCCUUCCUAUCUGCCCGGAAAUAAAUGCAGUGUCACAGUGAGUCUAGAAAGCGAUACAUUUAACGCAAAACCACAAGCCUUCUUCUAUUUCACGAAAUUUGACAUAUCAAUAUUUUGUGAAGAUACUAAUGUUACUGUCAUUGAUGGAACAUCAUAUAGAGGGACACAGAUAGAAGGCUUGCCAGCAUAUCUAUGUGGUCACAAUAAAACAUUGGAAGAGGAUGGCCAGUACUUCCAAACUGAAAGUCACCAACUGACAGUCACAGUUUAGACGAAGUGCUUAUGGAAAAAGAUUUUCAGGAAAUUUCAGCAUUAAAUUUUUAGACUUCUACUACGGUAAUUGCGAAGGUGACAAGGUUUAUGAAUGCCCAAGUGGCCGAUGUAUUCAAAGUGUAUACCAUUGCUCUGACGACAUCAAAGCUUGUGGUGACGACUCGUGUCAGACUGAUACUAGUAUUGACGUGGCCGAAACCUUUCUAGAUAGCAUUGUUAAUAUACUCAAGAACAUUGGAUGGAUUGUCCUCGCCGUUGUUGCUUUCUAUUUGUUCAGAAUCGUAUUCUUGUCAAAUAGAGAAAAGAUACGAAAUUUCUUCAAAGGCAAGUCACAAACGAAGUCGGCGCGAAUCGAUAGGAAUGCAUUCGGUUCAGUUAAACGGGACACCAACAGAUGACAUUCUUUUAUCCACUGAAGAGGUUCAGCCAAGACGAAAUUCCACAAAUUCGAGUUCAAGAAUUUCUAGUGCCAGAAGUUCAAUCUCUGAGCCAGGGCCAGAAGAUUCCAAUAUUGACCGUAACGGCAUUGCAUCGGAUGACGUCAACAUGACGUUAUCUGAUAGUUAUCCAGGGCAAGCUACACCGUCAGCGCCUCCACCAAGCUAUGAAGAUGCCAUGGCACCGUCAUAUGAUCACGUGAUGGCAAAUGAACAUAUUUAUAAACACUGAAUUACAUGCUGUCCGUGCAACACAGGUGUUUCAAGAAAACUUCCAGAUAUCUUUGAAUCUGACCCGUAUUCUUUGAAUAUCUAAGUAAGGAAGUUAAUAUUCAAUUUGUAGACUAUACUGCAACUAAGCGAAUAUUUUAGUAAAGCAUUUAACUUAUUUAUGUAGGUAUAACGUAUGUUUAAACAUGUCUGCAGUAUCCAACGGGAUCGGUUGCUUCCCAUGGGACCGAAGGUGUGACAAUGCCAAAUCAUUCCUAUUUAGAACAGUGAAUUCCUAUUCUAGUGUAAAACUUGAACAAAUUUAAAAGUUUAAACAACAUAGGUCAUAACGAUACGCUGGUCAUUCCCUUGUUAUGUUCUGUUAUAAAUAGCACUGAAUUCCAAAAUUUUCUAAACGUUUUUAUAGUCGGUUAGAUAUUUCAUUUGGCAACGAUCUGGUAAUACAUUUUGUAUUGGUUUAGAGAUUUUCUCUGGCGCCCGUACUGAUAACAAAAUGAGAUUUUAUGGGGGUAAAAGUUGUUUUUGGCGUAAAAAAAUUGUGUUUGUCAUGUUUGUUAAAAGCAAAGUCAAUGAAAAUUUCAGGUCAGCUCGACAUUGCGCGAAAACAUUCAUUACUUCGGUAAAUAUCAUUGUAUUCUCUAAUUUUAUAGUAACUUCUCUUUAAAACCAUUCUAAUCCCGUGUGACAUAUUAUUAUACAAUUAUGUUAUUACACUAUUAAUAGGUGUACAUUAUUGGAACAUAGUCGAGAAAUCUAUUUUCAAUCAAACAAAUGCGAAGCAAUGACGUAGCUAACUUUGCGCAGUAGCUGCAAACACCCAGUCAGGAGUACUUUUUGAUACAAAAUGGUGGACUAUAACAGUCGUGAAAUUUUAUUUUAGAAUGUGAAAGUUUGUAUAAAGGUAACAAAGAACAGAAUACGUCUGUCAAAAUACAGUUUUGACAGUUAAAGUGAUACUGUGAUAAAAUUGCAUUUUAAAAAAAUAUAUACAUUGUAUUUGGAAAACUUUGCUUU